GGACUGAUAGCCAAGUGGUCGAAGGCGCCGUACUUGAAAUACGGUAACGUGCAAGCGUUCAGGGGUUCGAAUCCUCUUCAUUCCG
rfam:Cryptococcus gattii R265 mitochondrial scaffold supercont2.28, whole genome shotgun sequence.